GGCAGCGUGGCCGAGCGGUUAAGGCGUAGCACUCGAAUUAUGAACUUUAACGUUCCUCGAAAUGCUAUUCAUUCGUGAGCGUGUGUUCGAAUCACACCGCUGUCG
rnacentral:tRNA from 1 species